UACGUAGGGGGCAAGCGUUGUCCGGAAUCAUUGGGCGUAAAGAGCGUGUAGGCGGCUCGAUAAGUCUGCUGUGAAAGUCCAGGGCUCAACCCUGGAAGGCCGGUGGAAACUGUCGGGCUAGAGUCCGGAAGAGGCGAGUGGAAUUCCCGGUGUAGCGGUGAAAUGCGCAGAUAUACGGAGGAAUACCAGCGGCGAAGGCGAGUAGCUGGGCCAACACUGACGCUGAGGUGCGAAAGCUAGGGUAGCAAACGGG
rnacentral:rRNA from 1 species